rnacentral:rRNA from 1 species
GAUGACGGAUUUAUGAUCCUGAGUGCACCAAAUCUCAUUUGAUUUUGGAAACUAAGGAGGAUUCGAGCCUGGUUAGUGCUUGGAUGGGUAACCACCAGCGCAUAUCAGGUGUUAUAGGCA